rnacentral:misc_RNA from 1 species
UCGUGGGGGUCCUCGGGCCCUUUGCGUGAUGCAACCCUUGCCCUUUUUUAGCAUCUAUCCGUUUCCUCGGCAGCCUCGCCUGCCAACGAGGACCUUCAGAAACCCUUUUGUAAUCUCGGUACGAAACUCGGAAAAGCACAAACGUUUUAA